GGGGGGGGGGUUCGUUCUUCUGGUGGGGAAACUUGGUGGGGGUGGCUGGUUUGGGGCUGAAAUGCUGGCGUCGACCCUGAAUUGCUGCUUGUUGUAGAUUGACCUGUGCACAAAGGAUAUAGGUUAAAAAAGGAGGUGUAGGUAUGAGGAUCUCCUUUGUGGAUGUUUUUCGCUGAGGUUUUAGCUGAAUGCUGAUGGACCGUUUUCUAUAUAUGUUUUGUCCCAAUUAAGGUAGCUUUGGGUGAUUCCCAAUUAAAUCUUGAUAGUUAGUUGCUCUUUGUAGGUCUGGUUGAAGAUAAAUGCCGACUUACUGCCCUUCGAAGCAAAUGAUUCUGUCUUCAUUUUCUUGCUAUUCCAACGUCAUGGUCUAAAUCUAAAACCUUGAAUUCGCCGGAUAUCCCCCCCCCCCCCCCCCCCCCCCCCCUCCUAUGAUAUUUUCUCGUGUAUCCAGAAUGACGGAUUGGCCAAGCUUUUAUCGUUGCGACUUGCAAAAGUGUUUGUGCAGCAAAACACGCCUCUAUCAUGCCAGCGCGGUUUCGUUGACAAACAUUUCGCGGAAGGCAGGCAACGUGGGAGGUGGGUGGUUGAUGCUGUCCUCCGCUCCGUUUUCGUUCACCAGGAAAUAGAAAUUCCUUGCCAGGCCGUCCGUCUCCAUUUAACACAACUUUCUUACUCGAAAGCAGCAGUGUGAGUUUCGUGGCCUCGUGGGCAUUCGAAAGCAAUUAAUAUGGGACGGAGACUAGUGGGAGUAGCUACAUGUCGCCAUAUCGAUGCCUUACUAAUGUGUGCCACAUAUAAAUUUAUUAUAAAAAAGCACAGAAAAUAGUGACGUUGAUUCCAGAAAUGUUUAUAGAAAAAUUACUUUUUUUGCGAGGAUCAUAGAAACAUUGCUUAAAUUAGACACUUGUGCAUAUUUACUCCUUAUUAAAUCAUUAUGGGGUAAUACACGAGGGAAAAAAAGGAAUAACGACAAGUUAAAAAUGGGAUCCCAAACAUUACAAAUUUGAUAAGACUUUUUGCUAAAACCAAACUUGCCGGCUCUCAAUUUCUAGAACAUUUUAUAUCUUUAUCUAUUUACAUACUAUAGGACAUUUAAUUUCUUAUAAAGGUGCACUGCAAUUUUUGAUAGAUUAUGUCGCCAGAUAGUAUGUAGCAUUCUUUUCUUUUGUUUUUUAAAAAAUGGUGAAUUGUCACCUUUGAUGUACGGGCUCAAGUUUGAAAAAUCUCCACGCGAGUACAUAUUGUUGCUCUGUAAUUCUCUCACUCCUCUUCAAACCAAAUGUGGAAGUCGCGCGUUAUGUUUUUCUCAAUGAAACAUUGCAUGCAAUGAGCAGCUUGUGCACAAACGUGCCCACGGGCCCACAUGGCAGCCACACAUCCGGAACCCGUACUGAUCCCCCAGCGUAGCCGGAUGGUCGUGAAACCACCACUGGAUCGGUUUGAUUAACCACCAACCAUAAAAAUAUGGAAAUACUAGUACUCCCUCCGUAUACAAAUUUGAAGUCGUUCUGGGCGACGCUUCAUCGAUGCGAAAGGAAGUCGUUCUGGCUUGUUGAGGAGGUGGUUUUUGACACGUUUGCCCAUGGCGACGCUUUGUUCCGCGCGCCCACCGGUUCAAAACAUUAGCCAAGGGAGUUGAACCUGCCCGCAAGCCUCAAGUCCCACCACCUAACCAGUCCAACUACAAAUUGUUCUUAUCUAGGAGUCACCCACAUUUAAUAAGGAUAAGUAUGAAAAAAUAUCACUUAAUUAGUGACCCCUUGUUAAGCACGAUCAUGGGAGUAUGACAGCAAAUGGGAGUAUGACAGCAAGGGGCGGAACCGGCGAGGACUCUGCCACCGCCCACCAGACGCACAGGCACCCGUUGAUCUCUGCCCGGGACGCGAUCCGGACCGUCCGCUCUGUCUUGCUGCCCGGCUGCUCUCGCGUCGCGCGUGGCCUGUGACGCGUGUCCGUCUAUAUCUAUAUAUACGCCCGCGCCGCGGCGGGCAAUCCGAUCCCCACAAAACCCCAAUCGCGUCGGCUUCCCCAGCUUUACCCUCUGCUCUGCUGCUUCGCUCCGGCUGCGCGUGCAAAGAAUCGAUCGGAAAAGGUAACCAAUCUCUCCUUGCUCGCGCAGGAAUUCAUACGGAGAAGUGGAUCUUGGAUGGAUGCAUUAGCGGUUCGCUGCUCAGCUGCAUUACAUGGCCGCGUCCUAGGUUGGGGGGAUGCGCGGUUUAGGGCUUUUGUUGGUGGGGUUCUUGGGGAUCUUUUCGGGGGUUUCUUCCCCUGUUCUCUCGAGCCCUGCUGGCUAGAUGUUUGUUUUUGCCAAUUGUAGCUGCUGCUUUGCUCCUCUUUCCCCAAUGCGAUUGUUUUGCGGCUGUCAGAAGGGGAAAACUUGUUUGCAAAGAUAAAGAUUUUGGGGGCUGGUUCAGAUGGGAUCGACAAGUGCCUGAAAUUUCUGGCAUCUUUAGCCAAUCGAGUGGUUUCCUAUUCAUGCUGGAUCGAAAGAAUCGGUUAGCUGAGCAGUUCCUUUCUUUGUUUUGUCUCAAGCCAGUUGUAGGCGAAUGUGACCUGCACUAAUACAUAUCUGAACGCUGCGGGAUAAUUGAUCACCUCAUAUAUUUUUUUUUGUUGGGGGGGGGGGGGGGGUGCAAGGUGCCAAAUUGCAUAGUUUGUUCUGUACCAUUUUUUUGUAACGCAGCCGUGCGGGCUUCCUUUGACAUACAGCUCUUCUGCAAGUUGGUUUAAUUUAUUUUUUUUGCAUAGUUUUCCAGUUUGUAGUCAGGUGCCUCUGGUCCCGAAACUUUAGACCUUUUGAUUUCUCUGACAUGUAUAUUACCCUUUGUCUGCACAACCCAUAUGAGCAUAUCAAUCUGCAACUUCUUUUUUUAACUUAUGAUCAAAGUAAUUCACUGAACAUAAGUUAUUCUCUUCUCUGUCCGUUUUAUCCAGUUUAUUAGUAUGCCCUACUUGUGUUUGCUGAAUUUCUGUUCUGAUGCUACUUUUGCUCCGAAAGUAAGCUAUUGGACAGUGAGUUUAUGGUCUCAUGUGUUUACUUAUUUGAAAGAGUUCUAGUGCAUCACGGGUUUUUUUAGUUGUCCUCAUGUCGUAGAUUCUGAUUGGACAGGGUCGUUAAUCUCUAUCCAUUCAGGUGACCUUAUCCUAUUUAGUCAUAUAUACUGAUAUCUUUAUUCACUUGUGUGCCAUAUUUUGGCUUUCUUUAUAUGUCAAAAACUUGUUGUACUUCAUUCAAGAUGUACUUCUAGUUGAUACAAGAGUUGCUUGUAUAUCUGAGCUAUCUAUAGAGUACUUUAGGAAUCAAUCAACCAAGAUAUGCUUCGAUGACAAAUCAACAUUGCCUUGCUUUUACACUCCUGUCCUUUGUUAUGCAUUAUUGGGCUACUGAUAGCAUGCCUAACAGAGAUCAUUUUUGUGCAGAUAAGACAUGGGUCAGGUUUUGGGUUUAGUGCAAGUUGAUCAGUCAACUGUCGCCAUCAAAGAAACUUUUGGCAAGUUCAGUGAGGUCCUGGAGCCUGGUUGCCACUUCCUACCCUGGUGCAUAGGGCAGCAGGUUGCUGGUUACCUCUCCCUGCGUGUGCGGCAGCUGGAUGUCCGCUGUGAAACAAAAACAAAGGCAUUCUCCAAUACCAUUCUAUUUUAUAUCUGAUUUGUGUUUUGCUGAAGCUAUUGUCAUGAUCAACCUGUUGCCUGGACUUUAUCUGUUCAGGACAAUGUCUUCGUCACUGUUGUUGCAUCUGUCCAAUACCGUGCGCUUGCUGAUAAAGCAUCUGAUGCCUUCUACAAGCUGAGCAACACCAGGGAACAAAUUCAAUCAUAUGUAUUUGAUGGUAAGUAUUCCUUCUGUUUGAAAUUGUUCUUUAUAUGUUCAAUUGUGUCCAUGUUUUCAUUCUAUCUUUGUACUGUACUCGUACUUGUCCUAUCACCUCAGCUUGGUAUUAUUUGGUCUCCUUAAGUACUUGCAUACCCUGUAUCAGUUGACUAUUUUUUGUGUUUGUUAAUCUACUGAGAUAAAUUGUACCUUUUGUUAACAUUCUUAGUUUAUCAGUACAAGGAGAGUUAUGUUUCUAUACCGCACAAAUCACAAUUCGAAUGAACCAGUUUUCUUAGCACUUCAUUGCUCAUUUCAGUCAUUAGAGCCACUGUUCCAAAGCUGGAAUUGGAUGACGCAUUUGAGCAGAAGAAUGACAUUGCAAAAGCUGUUGAAGAGGAGCUUGAAAAGGUUUUUGUCGCACAUUUGUUUUUGUUUACUUGUGUUGAAUUUGCUUUAGAGCAUGUAGAAUCUUUUGAUUGACCUGGCUUGUUUGUGGUGUAGGCAAUGUCUACAUAUGGCUAUGAGAUCGUGCAAACUCUGAUUGUUGAUAUUGAGCCUGAUGACCGUGUCAAGAGAGCAAUGAACGAGAUCAAUGCAGGCAAGUGCUUUACCAUUCACAUAAGCAUCAGAUUAAAUUGGCAAUACAGCAUUUGCUUGGGAAUAAGCAUCUAUGAGUUUUAUCGAUUAAUCUUACAUGUUGCCCUUCCGGCUGUAUGGUACAGCUGCUAGGAUGAGGUUGGCAGCCAGCGAGAAAGCUGAGGCCGAGAAGAUAAUCCAGAUCAAGAAAGCUGAAGGAGAGGCCGAGUCCAAGUACCUGGCUGGUGUGGGUAUUGCAAGGCAGCGUCAGGCCAUUGUGGACGGGCUGAGGGACAGCGUUCUUGCCUUCUCAGAGAACGUCCCUGGCACCACUGCCAAGGAUAUCAUGGACAUGGUCCUGGUCACCCAGUACUUCGACACCAUGAAGGAGAUUGGGGCCUCAUCGAAGUCCUCUUCAGUGUUCAUCCCCCAUGGUCCUGGAGCUGUCAAGGAUGUCGCGGCACAGAUAAGAGAUGGCCUCCUGCAAGCCAGUCAGUGAGAGGGCCCUGAGAAAAGAAAGUAUUGGUUUUGAUUGCAAAAGCAAUGUUGAGGGCACUGGUUAUGUGGUGCUUUAACUUGUGUUAUAUGAUAUAGCUAGACUUGCAUGGUUUGUGAAUGGUCAGUAGGCUUUUAUAUUGAUUGGACCACUUGCGAGUGGAUAUCCUAUAUGUUAGCGUGGAAAGUCCAUUUGGAUCGAACUCGGAGCUUAAUAUUGAAAGUGCAGCUUCUGACAAGAUGUUUGUUGCUGGUGAAAUUGUUUUUGUAGGCUCCAUUGAUGGACUGCAAAGUGGUAAUUGGCAAAUUUUGAUGCUCAGUUAGAUUUGUUCCACAAUACUUUGCAUGUUGUAUACACAAAUUUUUUGCAAGUGAAUACUAGGACAAGGUUUCUCGCACAAUAUGAUGUAUACACACCACCCAACAAACACAUUUGCACAUCCAUUAUUCUGCAUCAUGUAACUACAGAAUGUACAUACAUAACGAUGGGCCUAAAACAAACUUAGAUGAUGUUGAGUGUCUACACAGAUCUCCUUGUAACAAUGAUCGUUCUUGUGCAAUACAACACUAGAAGUUUUACCGAACGGAUUCUCUAGUCUUUUCAAGAAUGCCCGUUAUGAUGGAUUGUAUAGCUGGAGCUGGCAGUUUUUAUUUCAUUUAUUCUUUUAUACAUGUUAUUGUUUUGACAGUAUAUGAAGUUCUGUUGUUUUAGAAUGCAAAUAACAGCAAGUUGGAUUUGUUUUUCCUCACUUCCAAGGAACUAAAACCUCCACACAAGUGCAAAGCACAUAACGUGCAAACUCUAGCACCUGCAAAUCCCAAAACCCCGAUGGAAGGUUCUUGCAUAAUGUGGGGGUACUCCUACGACACCUCACUCACCAAAUAUUUACAUUUGCACAUUGGUAAUUAUACACCAUGUAACAACACAACAGUUUUGAUUGCCAUAUACAUAAUCUUGUAACAAUGGCAUGAACAGUAAAUCUAUUGCUGCUUUCUGCCUGGUUAAAAAUGACAGGAGAGCAAGUCCAGGUCAAGGGCACAGACUACGCAGGCUUCUGAGUGAACAAGUAGGGCAUAGUGGUUGCGGCUCACGCGUCACGGACAAUCCGAACUGGUUCCAAGCAUCCAAGUACUCCUUCCUCCACUCCUCCCUAAGCUCUGCAGAAUCGCGGUACCAUUGCCUGGUGAUCCACAAAAUGAUAGCAGAUUUGAAUACAAAUAUGAGCUGCUGAACACUGCCUAGGAUUAGGGUUAUUUGCAGGAAAAGGGAAAAUACAUGAGGAUUUGGUGCAGUAUCUGUUAAGUGGGACUCUUUUCUUUUUUGCUAACAAAACACAUUUCAGAGGUUUUGGCGAGCUAUCUAAUACAAGAUAUAAACAUAGACUAUCAGCUGGUAGUUACAUCACAUUGCAGUCAGUAAAUUUCUGAAAAAUCAGUCAUGCUAACCAUGCUGUUUUAGAACACGAGAGAUAUGUUCAGGAUCCGGCAAGAAGCAACUGAUUUUGAGAAAGGCAUCGAGUAUUGGAGCGUGGAGGCUUCUACAAUUCAGUAGGGAGUGGCAUAAAGCAACACCAAUUCAUCUGCUUAGUUUUCAGAAAGAAGCUAUAAGCUAUGAUCCAGGCUCUGGUUAGUGGAUGCUUGGUAUUUUCCAGGCUCAGAGACAUCCAUUGAACAAAGCAGGAAGGCUGCCAGAAGGAAUUUGGUUAGUUGAUCAUGUCACUCAUAGAUAUCAAUUGACCAUCUCCAGAUCUCCUCUUCAACAGAUGCCACCGAAAAAAGGAUGAACCAAAGCCAGAGAGCACACAUAUCAUCCCUGCGAUUUCGCACACCAAAAUCAGUAGGGCACACUCAUCUCCUGAACUCAGACAAGAGGCUAUUUUCUUGGGCCUUCAAAGAUAUCUCCCUCAAUCAUAUCCAACCAGAGACCAUACUUCUGCUAAUACUACCAGCAUCAGACACCCGAGAAAGAUAAGCGCGGAGGCAUUCCGUCGAGCACCACUCGCGCGAGAGAGAGGAGAGACGAGAGGCGGGGGAUAGGCAACUCACUUGCAGACGAGGGAGCAGCUGAGGAGAUCGACGCAGUCCAGCUGCGAGAACACCCGCGCCAUCACGUGCGCCGGCGCCCGCAGCGCCGACGCCUCCACGGCCGCCGAAUCGCCGCCCUCCUCCUCCCGCAGCGGCGGCGCCAUGGCCGAUCCGCCCGCCCCGGUUCUUGGGUUGGAGCGGACAAGCGGCUGCAGAAACCUCUGCCCCUCGCUCUUCUCCUCGCUCGCUCGAUCGGUCUCUUUCUUUCGAGAGGUUAUAUCCUAUGACACGUCGGUUGAACAAUUCGCCAUUGGGUCGAAGCGAGCGAUUUUUAUUGAGCUUCUGCCACGGAUCGAAACGCGAUGCGGCGAGAGGGGAAAAAAGAAUGCCAUCUGAAUUUGUUUGAGGAAAAUCAGAUGAGAGGUGACGCUGGACGAGAUGUUGAUUGCUUGUCGGACAGAAUAGAUGAGGUGAUUCUUGGAUAAUACGACGGCAUGUUUAGCGAAACCGUGGAUGCUUACGCAGUUGAUGAUAACAUAAUCACUUUUUUAUUUUGAUGGAGAUAACCUAAUUUUUUGUGGGCCGGUGCAUUUUAGGCUGGGAUAGGGGCUGUCCAGGGCCUUCACUUUUUUAGACACUAUCCUCUCAAAAAGUCUGUGGAAUAAAAUGGGCUGCACAGGGAAAAAGAUCUCGGUUAGAACAACCUGGAAUUUUAAAAUUUUUAGUCUCAAGAUUGUACUUGGACAGUUGUGACUAUACCAAUUUUGUAUUCUUGUUUUACUUGGCAAUAGCUCCAAAAAGUGGAUGUUCGCAGUACUGUCGAUUGUUAAGCGCAAUCCAAUUAUUAAGAAAAUAGAAUCAGACCAUCCAGCUAAGCAACAUUAGCAAUAAUAAAAUCCAAUCAUACAUGUAAACCAGUUGAUCCGACAUGUUUCUUUGUAACAAUUCAACCCCGUUAUGCUCGACAGAGAGGUGUUUAAGACUUGCAAACAGCACGGCUCGAAAAGAAUAAAUCUUUUGGAUGCUUGGCCACAUUUCAAAAUGCUAAAGACACAAUAAAAGCAACACAUAACAUGGUCAAUCAGCCAUUUUAUCUGCUAGUUCCUAGAAGAGGAUAUGGCAAGUUAAGCACGACUGCACGAGGACUUUGGGCUUAAGCAGUGUCAAAUUUAUUUUAUUUUUUUAUUAAGCUCAAGGAAAAUAUACUCAAAAGCAUGCAAGGAAAAGAUGGUAUAUUUUGGUUUGGCGAACAAACUUGGUGAACUAUGAUGCCAUAUUGAUAUAAUGUUUAGGAGAAUUAGAUUUAUGCAGUUGUGUCAAUUUAGAUACCCGUAUCUACCAUUGUUUAUGAUAUAUUUGGACUUAUCUUAUUACUCUACAUAAUUAAUUUGUUUUAUUUAUAUCACUAGCGAACCGUUUUCAAGUGGUAUGAUCGAGCAAGUUUCGACAUUAAAAUUGAUACGGUAAUAACUCACAAUGGUGGCUAUUGGCUAGUGUAAACUUCACAAAAGUAAUAACACAUAUAAAAAAACAUCAUUGAUACAAUAGCACAAACUUUUUUAUUUUAAUGUUUGAAGUUGUGUUUUCACAAUGUAAUCUAUGUUGAGAGAGAGAGAGAGAGUGAGCUUGUGUAAUUUCUGGGGUGCUCUUAGGAUUUAUAAUAGUAAUCAAAAUUAUAUAUAAUUUAGAAACAAUUUCUGGUAUGGAGUUUUGCAAAAAAAAAUAAAAUAAAAUAAAGCGGUGGCAAUAAUUUAAAAUUACACUCUGGGUAUCUUCAAAACCAUAGAAAAAACGGCUACAGUUUGUUCAACUGGAUGGAGAAGCCUACUGUGGAUUAGCCAAUGGCUAUUUUUUUUUAAAAAAAAACAGAUUAGCCAAUGGCCCGUGUGAAACCCAGAGGCAGAGAGCUCAAAAAAGGAACGCGGAAAGCGAAAAGAACAGAAACGAAAUAAACUAGGGUUUAACCGGGCCCACGCGUCAGCCGCCGCCCCGUGGUUUUCUCCGCCUUUAUUCCCCCACACCUCUCCUCCACCCUAUCAGCCGCCUCCCAAUCAUCCUCCCCAACCCCCCACGCCCGCCGCGCCUCGUCGCCGCCGCCGCCACCGACGAGAAGAUGGUCGGGCCAGGCCUCUACACCGAGAUCGGCAAGAAGACUAGGGGUGGGUGCCCGCCCGUCCGUUCCUUCCGCCCUCUUUCCCCCCGUGUUCCUUCCACGCUCGGGGGUUGAACUCGCUGGCUGGUGUUUUUGGUCGGUUUGCUGAUUGUUUUCGGUGCGCCUUCUUCACAGAUCUGCUGUACAGGGACUACCAGACGGACCACAAGUUCACUCUCACCACCUACACCUCCAAUGGCGUCGUAAGUGCCCCGCCUCCUCUCCACCCUGCACUCCUCCCCUCCCCUGUUCUCGGUCCUUGGUGCUAGGGCCUUGUGCCGUGCUUUGGUCAGAUGGAUUACGACUCGAAUGUAUCGGAUUGAUGAAACCGUGUGGGGUGGGUUCAUAAUCUAUAUUGGAUUCAUCUGUAUGGUUUGAAACCUAUGACGCGGCUUUAGCGAUGGGCUGCGGGAUUUAGGCGGGCAUGACCGUCAGCACAUGAGAUUAGGUUCCUGCAUGGACCUGCUUAUGAGCUGUGCUUUACAGUAUUUUUGUCUGCUUGUGCGUUUGACGCUGUAACUCAGCAACCUGUGUUUUGCUCGUGUUGCUCUUUCACUGCAUAUUUUGAAGUGGGGUUGGUAGGGAGAAGCUCCUGGGUGUUCAGUAGCUCACUAGCCUAGCCUAUUUGUGGUUCUAAAAAAAUUGUGGUGAUGUGAAAUAGUACCAAGCUUGACCUAAGCAAUUGGUGUCAGGAUCAUCAAGGGAUGCAACACAUGUUAGCAAGGUGGGAGGACAGUGGUUUGAAUAGUCGGUUGUUGAGUGAUGUGCACUCUGAAUACUGGCAAGGUAGCUUAGGGCUGUCAAGCAUGGUGUCUUUUAGUGCUGUUUGGUGUCUUCUAUUCUGAGGAAAAUGUGUUUUUUUUUUCUGAACCAAAUCUAUUGGGGAUAAUGGAACUGCAAUCAAAGUAUAGAACUCCUGACUAGAGCCUUUUCCCAACACAAAACAAAA
rnacentral:lncRNA from 1 species